rnacentral:lncRNA from 1 species
UCCCCUUUUGAUUUCUUCUUUGUUUGAUCGGUAUUCUCCCUCAUUGGCUUCUUCUGUUUAAUUGGUUCUCUCUAUUUGGUUCUUCUCUUUGAUUGUCUCUCUAUUGAUUUCUUCUAAUUGAUUGACCUCUCUCUAUCGAUUCUUCUGAUUGAUUGCAUUUCUCCCUAUUGACUUCUUCUAUUUGGUUGCACUUCUCCCUAUUGUUUCUUCUGAUCGAUUGCACUUCUCCCUCUAUUGAUUCUGAUGGAUUGCAUUGCAUUUCUCCCUAUUUGGUUUCUUCUGUUUGAUUGCCUCUAUAUGAUUGCUUCUCUAUGUUGAUUUUCUGAUUGCAUCUCUCUCCGUAUUGAUUCUUCUUCUAUUUGAAUGCUUCUCUUUCUCUCUACUUUGGAUUGGUUUGAUUUGGUUCAAUUUGGAUUGGAACAAUUUGGUUUGGUUUCCUGUUUGGUUUGUUUUUGUUUGGACAUUUCUACUGAUGAUGGUUCUUGCUGCAUUUUCAAUGAUGUCAACUCACUUUGGUUGCUGCUCUCUGUUAGUUAUUUUGGUUUGAUGUCUU